rnacentral:lncRNA from 1 species
UUUUCAAGGAUAAGAAAUCGGAAAUAUAUUGCGUAUUCGUUGAGUUUUUCUCCACUUGUGGUAUAUUCGUCGUAUCCGCAACAAAUUGCGUAUCAAGUGACAUUAAUUUAAGAAUAGGAGACUCAAUUACAGAGAAAUUUCUUUUUCUCUCUUCUCUCUAGUCGCCUCCUCUUUUCAUCUCCGACGGGGCUUCCAUCGGUUUCCGGUGGAAAGCCCCAAAUCUUUUCGUUUGAUUGCUAAUUUUUGAUUGUUCUUGCUUUUUCAUUGAGUUUCUCAAUAAAUCUCCAUCUUCGGAGAAAGUUUUCUUAGAUCUAUAUCAUCGAAACUUUCGAUUUUCAUUCUUAUUCGCUUCCAGAAGCUUUUUUGGAUUUAUGAGUGGAUCGAUUAUCUCCUGAGUGUCGUGGUGCAGAUCUAAUUGUUUUAGUUUGUUUUGAUUAUAGCUUGAUUUCUCUCCCUGGUGAGAGUGUGUGAUUUUUCUCUCCUUUUGUGAGAGUGGUUUGGAUUCAUCGAUAAAGCCUUUCGGGAAUUGCAUUUGUGGUCGAUAGCUCAAACGGAGUUUUUGGAAAAGAUGGUGAACACAGAGCAAGGAUCUACACAUGUACCAUCGUCAAUUUCAACAUCGCUUAUUUGUCUCAUCUUAGGUAUGAAGACAAGCAUGUUAAUUUUUUCUAUAUUUGUUCAACUCAAUCAUUCCUGUAGAUGCCGUAUGGCCAUUAUUUAUUGAAUUAUCGCUUUUUCUUAAAAAAAAAAGUGACAUUAAUUUAUCAUUAGUUAGUUUUACAUAUAAUCCACGCCCAGUUUUUCGAUUAAGUAAAGAAGAUUAUGCAGUUGAGUCUUAAAUAAAUAAAGAUGCACAUCAUCAAGCCCAUAUCAAGUCCUGUCCUGGACAUGUACUAGUCGAAUUUUUGAAAAUGAUGUCCCGGAAACAUUUGUAUAUAUUCAAAAUGAAUACAUAAUGAAAUAAUCAAAAUAUAUAAUUUUAACAUUAACAAUAUAAUUAGUUUAAAUAUAUGUAAAUAUAUAAAAUACUAUAUUUAUCAUUAUAUAUUAUAUAUGCAUUGAUUUUUUGAUGUCCUAGAAUAGCAGUGUCCUGAACCUUCGUCUUGAUUAUCUUACAUAAGCUCGAACCUGCAUUAUGUAUGCACGAGAUCAAUUUUAUCUUUUCAUACUUGUUUAUUAUGAAUAUUAAAAAUUUAUUCUGAAUAUUUGUCUUACAUAAAAUCGAACCUGCAUUAUGUAUGCACGGGAUCAAUUUUAUCUUUUCAUACUUGUUUAUUAUGAAUAUUAAAAAUUUAUUCUGAAUAUAACAUUUGCCAUCCGUAUUUUAAUCAGAUGCCCAGGGUGCAUAAAACACAACCGAUGCUCAUGGGAAAUAAAUUCAGAUGACAGACAAAAAGUAAGUUAAGGCCCACCACUUUCCCAAAAAUAGUUCAACUUGGU